UGAAACAAGUAAAGCAAGCAAACCAACAAUAAAUUGUCCAAAGGUAUUAUUGAGAGACGUUCUAGAACACGAAUCAAUCAUUGCUGGAGAAUAAAUUCUGUUGUUUUUUUAUUACAUUAUGCGUAACAUUUUAACACUAGUUGAAUACGCAAGUUAGUAAUUGGAUCGGAUGCAAUAGAGGUUUCUCAACAUCUUACGAACGGACGAAAAUCGCCUUAACUUGACGUAACUUGCCGGAACGAGAGAAUAGAGAACUCUCAUUUAUUGAAUGAUUUUGUACUAUCGGGUGUGCACUUCCUUUUUUUAAGGUAUGCAUGCAGGGUUCUUUUAAACAAUUUUGAGUUAUGGACAUACUAUUAUAUUGAAUGCGAGUUCUCUCUGAUGUGUAUUUAAUGACUUAGUGUCCUUUUUUGUUGAGAUUAGAGGGGCAAUUUAAUUUUUUGUAUUUAUCUAGGCUCAGAUCAAAGGUAAAAAGUCCUGCGCAAAAAAG
rnacentral:lncRNA from 1 species